ACGUGAUGGACGGCGUCAGGCGCCGCGGGAACCGCUUCCUGUUGUCAGUAGUCCGGAGGCCGCAGCGUCCGGUCGGAGUCUUAGGGGCUGCAGCGACCGGGAGUGCCCCCGCCCCCCUCCCCACUCCGUUUGAAGUGAAAUUGGAUGUUUGCAGAAGCCCAGGCAGUAUAAUAAAGAAAAGCAACCAGAACAAUUCCUUCCUGUGUGUUGGAACAUUUAAGAAAGGACAGCUGUGAAACCUGUGUACCAUGGAAAGGAUGUGGCCUCAGCUGGUUGGGACUACAGACCUGAUGGGUGUCAUGUGAUUCUUCUGGGGAGCUGCUGCUUGAGUGGAAAUGCUCUCAGCGGUGGAGAAUGGACUGGACCCCCGGGCUGCCAUCCCGGUCAUCAAGAAGAAGCUAGUGGGCUCCGUGAAGGCACUGCAGAAGCAGUACGUGUCCUUGGACACAGCAGUCACAAGUGAAGACGGAGAUGCCAACAGCAUGUGCAGCGCCCUGGAAGCCGUCUUCAUCCACGGCCUGCACACCAAGCACAUCCGAGCCGAGGCCGGAGGGAAAAGGAAGAAAAGUGCCCACCAGAAGCCUCUGCCUCAGCCCGUCUUCUGGCCCCUCCUGAAAGCUGUCACCCACAAACACAUCAUCUCGGAAUUGGAGCACCUGAUCUUCGUGAGCACGGACGUGGGCCGCUGCCGGGCCUGGCUGCGGCUGGCCCUCAAUGACGGCCUGAUGGAGUGCUACCUGAAGCUGCUGCUGCAGGAGCAGGCCCGCCUGUGCGAGUACUACCAGCCCACGGCCCUGCUCCGUGACGCCGAGGAGGGCGAGUUCCUCCUGAGCUUCCUGCAGGGCCUGACGUCCCUGUCCUUUGAGCUCUCCUACAAGUCUGCCAUCCUAAACGAGUGGACGCUCACCCCGCUGGCCCUCUCCGGGCUCUGCCCGCUCUCGGAGCUUGACCCCCUCACUACCUCCGGAGCGGAACUACAGCGGAAGGAGUCUCUGGAUUCCAUCUCCCAUUCCUCAGGCUCGGAGGACAUCGAGGUCCAGCACUCGGGCCAUAAGAUCCGACGGAACAGGGGGCUCACGGCCUCCUCCCUCAGUCUGGACACGGCCAGUUCAUCCCAGCUCUCUUGCAGCCUCAACUCUGACAGCUGCCUGCUCCAAGAGAAUGGCUCCAAGAGUCCAGACCGUUCCGAGGAGCCCAUGUCCUGCGACUCAGACCUGGGGACGGCAAAUGCUGACGAUUCGGACCUGUCUCUGCAAGAGGUGUUGUCGGAAUUCAGCAAAGCCCAGGUGAACUCUGUGCCAACUGACAGACUGAGCCACGAAGCGGAGGUUCCCACGCUGCAGGCCUUGCUCGCCCUCCGCGGCCUGGACACCAGCACACCCCUGCGCCUUGAGGUACCUGCAGAGCCCCGCCCCGCCCAAGCAUCCCCUGGGACUCGAGAUGGGGACCGCAAGCAGGAGCCGCUUUCCCAGGCACCUGGCGCCCUGGGCUGGCCACAGCCGGGCAGUGCCCAAGCUGUCCCUUCGGGGAGCGCUUCAGGCCAUCAGCCUCCUAGUCCGGUGAGGGAGGCGACCAGAGCAGUUGGCCGAGGAAGUGGCCAGAGGAAGCCUCCGGAGGAGGAUGGACCUCGGCUGAGCCUUGUGGUUCCCUCGCCCACCAGUCCGAAAAGCACGAGCUGGAUCUCAGAAGAUGACUUCUACCGGCCUCCCCGGGAACAGCCCGCAGAGAGUCCUUCCCAUGCUUCCGUGGCUUCUCCCAGAGGGACUCCAGAGCCGAGGCCUGGUCUCCUCACGCAAGGACCAAGAAGAAGCUGUUCCAUGGAGACCUUAGACAAAGCUUGUGUGCCUUCCCUAGGAAGCAGGAGAAGCAAGGCCGCCCCGAUGCCGGAGCAUAAGAACUUCAGGGUGGUGCACCGCAGGCAGAUGGGGCUGUCUAACCCAUUCCGGGGGCUUCUGAAGCUGGGCACGGUGGAGCGGCGGGGGGCCAUGGGCAUCUGGAAGGAACUCUUCUGCGAGCUCUCCCCGCUGGAGUUGCGCCUCUACCUGAGCGGCGAGGAGCGCACCUGCGUGGAGAACUGCUCUCUGCUGCGCUGUGAGUCCGUGGGCCCGGCCCACAGCGACGGCCGCUUCGAGCUGGUCUUCUCGGGCAAGAAGCUGACCCUGCGCUCCUCAUGCCGCGAUGAAGCCGAGGACUGGCUGGACCGUGUGCGCGAGGCGCUGCAGAAGUGCCGGCGGCCCCAGCAGGAGGAGGAGUGGGUGACCAUCCAGUACCCAGACCAGCCCGAGGACCCUCCAGAGGCCCCCCAGGGUGGCCGCCCCUCCCACUCGGACCUGCUCUCGGAGCCUGAAACCCCCCAGGGCCCGCAGUUUGACUGGUCUUCUUCCCAGGUUCCCGAGCCAGACGCUAUUAAGGAAUCCCUUCUGUACCUGUACACAGACCGGACCUGGAUGCCCUGUAUCUUCUCCCUGUCCUUGGAGUCUCUGAAGUGCUUCCGCGUGAGAAACAACGAGAAGAUGUUAAGUGACAGCCAUGGAGUCGAGACCAUCCGAGAUAUCCUGCCGGACACGAGCCUUGGGGGCCCAUCCUUCUUCAAAAUCAUCACGGCCAAGGCCGUCCUGAAGCUGCAGGCCGGGAACGCUGAGGAGGCCGCCCUGUGGAGGGACCUGGUGCGCAAGGUCCUGGCGUCCUACCUGGAGACAGCUGAGGAGGCGGUGACACUCGGUGGGAGUCUGGAUGAAAACUGUCAGGAGGUGCUGAAGUUCGCCACGCGGGAGAACGGCUUCCUGCUGCAGUACCUGGUGGCCAUCCCCACGGAGAAAGGCCUCGACUCCCAGGGCUGCUUCUGUGCAGGCUGCUCCCGGCAGAUCGGCUUCUCGUUUGUACGGCCCAAGCUCUGUGCCUUCUCUGGCCUCUACUACUGUGACAUCUGCCAUCAAGACGAUGCCUCAGUGAUCCCGGCCAGGAUCAUCCACAACUGGGACCUCACCAAGCGCCCGGUGCUCACCAGAUGGCCCUCCUAUCUCACCCUCGCUGCCUGGUGGUGUCCCCAGGUCUGCAGGCAGGCCCUGAAGUUCCUGACGCAGAUCCGGGCCCAGCCCCUCAUCAACCUGCAGCUGGUGAACGCGUCUCUGUACGAGCACGUGGAGCGGAUGCACCUCAUCGGUAGGAGCCGGGAGCAGCUGAAGCUCCUGGGGGAUUACCUCGGCCUGUGCCGAAGCGGAGCCCUGAAGGAGUUGAGCAAGAGGGCCCAGAAGGACAGAAAGCCCUUUGGGGGCCACCGUGAGGGACCUGAAAGGCUGCUUCUGGGAAGGCUCUUUCUGUCUCCAUAAUCAGCUGGGUGCCUGGGUCCCUACUCACUCCCAUCCUUCCUGAGAUUCCAGGACCCAGGGCUCCAGAGUCUGCCCUCCUGCCCCUCUGUCCAGGUCAAGUGGGACCCUGUCACCCUCCCCGGUCCAGGGUUCUCUGCAGACUGAGAAGACCAGGUGCCCGUAGGGUGGGUCCUGGGUGCCGGCCUCAUUCACCCAUCCCUGCCGUGCUGAGAUUGUUUGGUCAGCAGCCUUACUGGCCUGUCCGGGCUGCCCUGCCUGGGCACUGGGGACAGUCCUGCCUCUUUCUCUGUGGCCCUGCUGUUCCCAUCCUUGGGUGGCAGCGCUGCACACAGUGCUCAGGGCCAGGCCUGUGGAAGUCCCAUUUCAGAAGCAGCGUGGGGCGGGGGAAAGAGUCCAGGCGCAGCCUCCGCCUGGCCCCAGAUCCACUGUGUGACUCAGGGAAGUUGCUUCACUUCUCUGAGCUCCAGCUUUCUUGUCUGUAAAAUGGGCCAGUGAUCCCUGUGUUGACGUGGCUUCCCAGAGUUGUGGUGAGGGCCACAUGAGGGGAUCAGUGUCUGGGGUGGGACAGGGACAGGUGGACAAAUGGCCCUGGGUCAGGGCGGCGUGUGCCAUGAAGAAGGAAGGAAGGGCCAGGGGAGCUCCCGGAGGAGGUGGCAUCAGUUGAGGGUUUGUGAAGUUCAUUUCUUUUGUUCUUUUAAAAAGAAAAAGUGCUUUUCUUUUUCUUCUUUACAAAGAUAGUAUUCAAAUAGUAUGAAAGAGAGUCAAGCAGAAAGUUGGGAUCCCCCUUCUCUAGUCUGGCCACCAUCAGUUCUGUUAGAUGCUCCAGACCCCUCUUGGUCCUCACACAGGAGAACAGAGUUGCCGCCACACAAACGGCAUCACGUGUGUAGUGAACUGGGGUUCAGCAAAAGAAGCAGAGAAGAAAGCAGAAGGGAGGGCCCGCUUUCCUGGCUAAGGGAACCCACGGCAUGGAGGCGGGACAGGAGCACGGCUCGCCAGGGCCUUCGGGGGACUCAGGGCAGCCAGGUGGUGGGUCAGGGGCCAGACCUCGAAGGUCCCCUGUGCCACAGCAAAGGCGUCUAGAUUUGAUGCUGCUGGCAUUGGGGAGCUGUUGAGGGGUUUUGAGCAAGGGAUGGUCACGUUCAGUCAGGAGUUUAGGAAAGACCAGUUUAGCAGCAGUGGAGCGUGGGUGCUGGUGUAGGAAUUGGCCCAGGAGGUGAGGAGGCCUGGACUGAGUCAGCCAGAGUGAAGGGUGAGAGGACGGGAAGGGCUGAGGAGAAACAGGCAGGUUUUGGAUGUGGGAUCCCCUUUCUCUCAGGGGCCUGCCCUGGCAAAGGGUCUCCUCCCUGACCUCAUCUCCCCCAACAGUUGUACGGCCUCACUUGAGGGUAUGACAGACCCAGGAUAGGUGGCUCGUAGGGAAGGCCCUGGGCCUGGCUGGCCCCCUGGGCUUCCACGACUGUGGGCAGGGGACUCUCCAUCCAAAUCAGCCCCACCCUUCCUGCCGGCGCAGCAGCAGCCUGUGCACCCCGCACCGCCUGCAUUUUCCUGGUGAUAAACGGCAGCGUCCUGUUCCCAGAAAGCUGGAAGUUUACUGGGGAGACCAGCACGUUGAGCUGAGUGGCCGCAUCCUCACCCCACGCAGCACAGCCUGGCCUGCCUGCCUGGUGGAACUUGCCAUCUCGGCCCCGGGUGGGGUCCCCCCUGGACCACAGCUGAGGCCACGGGGUGGGCAAAGGCAAGCACCCACUCCAGAUGCCGCGGGGCCUGGCACCUUCCCGCCUCCAGGUGUCCAGAGCAUCCUGGGGCAGGUUCCCACGCUUCCUCAGACUGGGAGAAUUCUCCCCCCAACCCCAGUACCAACACAGACACACAGCAAGGCUAGACAAGUUUUUGUACCAGGGGAAUUUCUGCAGGUGUUUCCUCUCCAUCUCUCAGGAUGUGACCCUUGGGAUCUGUGCCAUUGGUGAGGUGGAAACUAGAGCUGGGUUGGCAGCUGAGCUCUCGUCCUCUGCCUCCCCCACCCCCCGCCCUCCCCCAUCUCUGAAAUGGGAUCUGCUGCACUCAGGACGUGUCUCAGCUCCUCUCCCAUAGCACUGAAACCAGAUGCUUAAAUGUCUGUCCCUCCACUAGACCAGGGGCUACAGGAAGGCAGAGGCCACGUCCUGUGCAUUUCUGUCCCCAGCCCUGUCCCUGGUAUGUAAUAGUGGCAAUAAUGACAACAGUUAACACCUACAGGCAUUCACUGGGUGGAAAGGAUGCAGGCUCUGGAGCCAGACUCCUGCGUUUGUUCAGGCUCCAGCUCCGCCACUUACUAGCUGUGUGACCACAGGCAAGUUAUUUAACCUCUCUGGGCCUCCAUUUCCUCUUGCAAAAUGGGGGUUAUAAUAGUGUCAACCUCACAGGAGUCUUGUGAAAAUUAAGUGAGUUAAUAUAUAUAAAGCUUAGUCCCGUUCCCGGUACCAAGCGUUAGCUUUCCUCAUCAUCCUCAUCAUUAUUAGUUUUUAAGUAGAUGUUUAUUUUUUAUAUCUUCAAAUUAAAAUUUUUGUGGCUUUAUUGAGUAUACUUGACAAAAUUAUAAGACAUUUAAAGUGUAUGUUGUGAUGAUUUGACAUAUGAUUACAUUGUGAAAGGAUUCCUCCCAUCUGGUUAAUUAGCAUAUCCAUCAUCCUCACAUAUUUUAUAUAUUUUUAUAUAUAUAUACAUGGUGUUUGUGUGUGUGUGUGUGUGUGUGUGUCUGAGAGAGAGACAGAGACAGAGAACAUUUGAGUUCUACUCUUAGCAAAUUUCAAUUAUGCAGUGCAGUGUUAUCAACUGUGGUUAACAAUUAUUUCUUGUUUACUAUGUACGAGGCACUGUACCGGAUGCUUUAAAUAAAUUAUUUCAUCCUCAGAACAGCGCUCUUUCUCAGGUGAGGAAACCUAAGGUUCAGAGAGGUUAAGUAACUUACCCAAGGUCCCAACAGCUUUUCACCUGGAAGCCCAGGUCCCAAGCCCAGGCGACUGACUGCUCCGCCCAGGCGGGAGCUGUUUAUGCCUGGUCAGCAGCGCUGAGGGAAUGAAACCAAACCCAGGUUGGCCAGGCUUCCUUCUAAGGAAUCUCUUGUGUUUUCUUUGAAGACUCAACCACAGGAAUUAUCUCUUGGAGUCUCCUCACAAGUACAGUGUCGCGGACCUCCAGCAGAUCGCGGACGGGCUGUAUGAAGGAUUCCUCAAGUCCCUGAUCGAGUUUGCCUCCCAGCACGUGUACCACUGCGACCUGUGCACCCA